UAAUAAGCUUGGAUCUCAGAG
rnacentral:piRNA from 1 species